AUUGAACGCUGGCGGCAGGCCUAACACAUGCAAGUCGAACGGUAACAGGAAGCAGCUUGCUGCUUCGCUGACGAGUGGCGGACAGGUGAGUAAUGUCUGGGAAGCUGCCUGAUGGAGGGGGAUAACUACUGGAAACGGUAGCUAAUACCGCAUAAUGUCGCAAGACCAAAGAGGGGGACCUUCGGGCCUCUUGCCAUCGGAUGUGCCCAGAUGGGAUUAGCUUGUUGGUGGGGUAACGGCUCACCAAGGCGACGAUCCCUAGCUGGUCUGAGAGGAUGACCAGCCACACUGGGACUGAGACACGGUCCAGACUCCUACGGGAGGCAGCAGUGGGGAAUAUUGCACAAUGGGCGCAAGCCUGAUGCAGCCAUGCCGCGUGUAUGAAGAAGGCCUUCGGGUUGUAAAGUACUUUCAGCGGGGAGGAAGGGAGUAAAGUUAAUACCUUUGCUCAUUGACGUUACCCGCAGAAGAAGCACCGGCUAACUCCGUG
rnacentral:rRNA from 1 species